UGCUAAUCUGCGAUAAGCGCCGGUAAGGUGAUAUGAACCGUUAUAACCGGCGAUACCCGAAUGGGGAAACCCAGUGUGACUCGUCACACUAUCAUUAACUGAAUCCAUAGGUUAAUGAGGCGAACCGGGGGAACUGAAACAUCUAAGUACCCCGAGGAAAAGAAAUCAACCGAGAUUCCCCCAGUAGCGGCGAGCGAACGGGGAGGAGCCCAGAGCCUGAAUCAGCAUGUGUGUUAGUGGAAGCGUCUGGAAAGGCGCGCGAUACAGGGUGACAGCCCCGUACACAAAAGCGCAUGUGCUGUGAGCUCGAUGAGUAGGGCGGGACACGUGGUAUCCUGUCUGAAUAUGGGGGGACCAUCCUCCAAGGCUAAAUACUCCUGACUGACCGAUAGUGAACCAGUACCGUGAGGGAAAGGCGAAAAGAACCCCGGCGAGGGGAGUGAAACAGAACCUGAAACCGUGUACGUACAAGCAGUGGGAGCCCCACCACUAAGCCAGUGGUGAGUUCCAUGAUGCAUCCUUUGCUGAAGGUGCGGUUGGCGGAGCGUUUUUUGCGACGCCCAACACACAAAACAAGCAGAGGGGGCUUAGUGGUGGGGUGACUGCGUACCUUUUGUAUAAUGGGUCAGCGACUUAUAUUCUGUAGCAAGGUUAACCGCAUAGGGGAGCCGGAGGGAAACCGAGUCUUAACCGGGCGUUAAGUUGCAGGGUAUAGACCCGAAACCCGGUGAUCUAGCCAUGGGCAGGUUGAAGGUUGGGUAACACUAACUGGAGGACCGAACCGACUAAUGUUGAAAAAUUAGCGGAUGACCUGUGGCUGGGGGUGAAAGGCCAAUCAAACCGGGAGAUAGCUGGUUCUCCCCGAAAGCUAUUUAGGUAGCGCCUCGUGAAUUCAUCUCCGGGGGUAGAGCACUGUUUCGGCUAGGGGGCCAUCCCGGCUUACCAACCCGAUGCAAACUGCGAAUACCGGAGAAUGUUAUCACGGGAGACACACGGCGGGUGCUAACGUCCGUCGUGAAGAGGGAAACAACCCAGACCGCCAGCUAAGGUCCCAAAGUCAUGGUUAAGUGGGAAACGAUGUGGGAAGGCCCAGACAGCCAGGAUGUUGGCUUAGAAGCAGCCAUCAUUUAAAGAAAGCGUAAUAGCUCACUGGUCGAGUCGGCCUGCGCGGAAGAUGUAACGGGGCUAAACCAUGCACCGAAGCUGCGGCAGCGACACUCAGGUGUUGUUGGGUAGGGGAGCGUUCUGUAAGCCUGCGAAGGUGGCCUGUGAGGGUU
rnacentral:rRNA from 1 species